CAUUCUGUCCAUUAAAAACACAAAUUUGGUGUUUGGUAGUAUGUAGCUGGUGUCAUUUCUUUGGUUUAAGAGAAUAGCACUAGCUUAUCUGUUGGCUGCCCUCAAGAAAUUUGGAUGUAGAUUAUGGAUUCGAUUUGCUCUUUUGUUCCUAAGGUAAGUUUUCCCUUUCCUGUGAGGAUUGUACCCAAAAUGGUUCCUUCCAAGAUGUUUGAUCAGAGAAAGGUUGGCUUGUAUAACUGUCUGAACAUUCCACAACUGCCUUAUCUCCACGCUAUCAUAUGGUUAGGUUAUUUCAUGCCUUUGCAGUUGCAGCUAACAAAUCAUCCAGAAAAUGAUUAUUCUAUGAGCUACCAGUUCAAUAAUCAUUGAAGCUCAUUUGAAGCCCUUCAAUAGUCAUUUAAGUACAAGUCCCAGGCUGGAAAUAAGGCUGCAGAUUAGAUAAUUGUGGUGACUCUAGAGAUAGUAGUUGAUAUCUAUGACUUCAACAGAUUAUGUAUGUGUAUCUGCAAUGUAUAUAUGGAUAGAACUUAUGUAUUUGUGAUGUAUAUAAGAUCUAUUUCAUGUCC